CGCGUAGGUGGUUUGUUAAGUUGGAUGUGAAAGCCCCGGGCUCAACCUGGGAACUGCAUCCAAAACUGGCAAGCUAGAGUACGGUAGAGGGUGGUGGAAUUUCCUGUGUAGCGGUGAAAUGCGUAGAUAUAGGAAGGAACACCAGUGGCGAAGGCGACCACCUGGAUUGAUACUGACACUGAGGUGCGAAAGCGUGGGGAGCAAACG
rnacentral:rRNA from 1 species